CUUUUAGAAGAUGUAUCACAUAUUCACAUUUGUAUAGAAGAGUACUAGUGGCAACAAGAUGGGAAAAGUUUGCAGUUUCAUAAAUUGCGGAAAAUAUUUUCUGAUAUAAUUUGUAGUACCCGACUACCCUGUCUACCCACACCAUGUGCUCAUAUAUAGGCUGAAAACCACGUUUUUUCGGAGAACCGAAAGGUCUCCAAUAUAAUUGGACAACAUGCCAUAAGAUAUCAAUGUAUGUGACUAAAGUACCAACAGAGUGAAUGUUUGGAAGAAUUAUCAUUGAUGAUUGGAGAUGGUUUAUGUUGCCAAAGACAUUCUUGGAUAGAUAAUGAAUGUAUCCUGAAAAUAUAGAACAAUUACUAAUCAAGAAGUUCCCAAGAAAUAUUGUUUUUGUCUUUUGAAUUGCAAACCAGCCUUGGACUGAAGAAGAUUCUGGGAAAUUAGUUCUUGUGUGUAUUUAUAUAAUGUGAUACCAAUUGUAAAACAAAUUAAAACUUGUUUCUGU